CUGAUUACCACUGAUGCUGAGGAUCUUUUCACACGUUUCACGGCCACUUGGAUUUCUUCUGAGGAAAUUAUCACUGUUUCAGGAGGAGAGUUACUUCAGGAACCCUGCGGACAGAGGGACAGCCCACCAGACUACCAUCUGUUGUUUGAAUAAUUUUUUUCCUUAUCAAUUGGAUUCAUUUUGGUAUCCUGUUUUUGAACUCAGCUUAAGAACUUCUCAUCUCAAAUCCUAUGGCCUUCUGGAAGAUCCACCACUAUCCAAAGGAAAAAGUAGAUUAAUAUGUCUCAAGGGAUAUGACAUCUAUGGCAUAGGGCUACUGGUCUCAUCCCAGCAAUCAGGACAGAAAUUGCUAAUAGCUCAUGCAACUCUUUCAUGAAGAGCUUAGCUAUGACCUUAGAAGACAAAGCCUGUUUGUCAUGGCUUCUGUAAACCGAGCUCUUACAGUGCGUGGACCAUGUUUUAAUAAUCCAAAAUAAUUCCAGUGCCGAACCCUGAAUUUAACAUAUGGUAGACAUUCAGUAAAUGUUUGUUGAAUGAAUGCAUGUCUUCUAAAAGUUUUCCAACACAAAUUAGCAGUGGUUUCUUGUAAAUUAUUUCCUACUCGCCACUCUAUAAAAUCAUGGCAAUAAUAGAAGAUUAUGAAGGAUUUCUAUGGAGGACAUAAAUGCUGCAUCUUUCAUAAUCUCCAUUAUUACCCUCAUUGAUAUUAUCAUUGGAAUUAUCUAAGGUGAGCCCCAGUUUCCAGAGCAGCUGAUUGACACUGUCCUGCCUUCCUUAUUUAACCUCUUCUUUUGCCACUCGCCUUUAUCUUUGAAUCAUAUUUUGGCCUUGGUUUUGCAAUGGUUUUAUGUAAUCCUACAGAUGUCUUCAAGACCUGGGGUGAGUUAUAAAUGCAAGAAUGGUUUUUAGAAAUCUGAUGAGGCCUCUGCUCUCUGGGAUGUGGCCCUCUCUAUGCAGGUUGCUCCAAUGAUUAGCUCUGUCCUCAUUGUCCUUUUAAUUCCCUUGUCAACUUAAUCUCAGUAUGUUGCUUAUAUUAACAAGAAGAGUCACCCAAUAACUCCUCGAUAACUCUCAGUGAUGGUAUCUGUUGGUGCAUACUUGUGUUCCACAGUUAUGGCCAUAUACACAGAGGUAGUAUAUGAUGAAGAGAAGAUUACAGUCUUUACAGUCAAGAAGACUUGGGUUCAUAUCCUCACCCUGGAACUUACUAGCAUUAUAAUGCUUGCAGCAUUGUGUUUGGUGAGAGGAAAAGAAUGAAUGGAUUCUAGGAAUGUUAGGGAACGAUUUACUUUACCUGAUGGCUGUAUCAAACAUCUAUGCCCCACUUCUUCUCUUGCCUCACCUAUUCCUUAGAUUCUUGGUCACUUCUCUACCACAAGCCACCAGCACUAUAACCAGUUUUGCGUGGGUUCUGCUCUUCCUCCCUAUGUUGAUCAGUGUCAUGUGAGCAUAAGCCAAUGGUAGCUUGCCACAUGCCCCAUCUCCCGUUGCUGCAGAGGCAUAAGACAGAAGAGAUGGGAAGUGAAUGCCCCAUGUGGUGAAUCUGGGAUGAAUGGGAGUCCUAGGCUGGUAGAUCGUUUUUCCUCCUUCUUCCUCCUGGAGGAAGGAGUCUUCCUCUGAGAGUCAUCUGUUUGUAUGGUCUUUUAGAAGACAGUCCUGUAAGAUCGAGCAACCAGUCAUGAUGAAACCAAGUGGUGGCCGGAUCAGUAUGACACCCUGCUGCCCCCGUUUUUAAUUCUUCUCUGCCUUGCCCUGCUCUCUCCUGUUGCUCUGGGAUUGCACUUCUGAAUGAAGUAGCAGCUCAUAAGCUUUUGCCACAGGCUCUGUCUUUUGGGGAAUCCAGGAUAAGAACCCAUCAUACAGAAGUGUUCAAUAAUAUCAAUUUUGCAACUCACUCAGCUCCAUGGCUUCCCCCGGUCUGCCUGUCUCGCUACAUGCAUAGUGAAAUGAUGGAAGGAAUCUGCUUUCUGAACUCUAAUGUGCCUUCAUUGAUUAUCAUUAAAAUUAUCAUUAAAAUUGCCUUAUUUCUAUGGACUCAGAGGAAUGAUGUUUUAGUUUUGGCUCUCUGAUUUACCAACUAUGUGACUUUGUCCAAGUCAUUUAACUUCAGUAAACCUCGGUAUGACUGAAAAGGGAGUUUUCUGUAUGGCUGUCACUAGGUUUUUUUGUGGGUUAGUUAAAUGAUAAACAUGAAAGCUCUGUCCAAAUGAAAAAGGUAUUUCUAACAACAACCACAAUAACAAUAACAACUUAGUGCUUAGCCCAUGAUGUAUCAGGGGAUAUGAUGUGAUGAUUUUCAAGGUGUUGGAGGAAACUUCUGUUCCAAGAACUCCCAGCAGCUUUGAAAGCAGACUGAGAUGGGUUGAGACCCUGAAUCCCUGGGCUGUUGUUCCUGUCACCCCUAAUUAAUAUGUGAGAGACAACAGCUGGGUUUUCCAUCCCUAACACAUUUAUUUCAUUUUAUUUGGGGCCUGCAAUUUCUGCAUGUCUCAUAUAUUUUAGGUUUUACCUUUUUACCUGGCUUUAAAAUAAAUCCCUUGUAAGUUGUCCUGCAAAUGAAAUUACUGUCUGGAAAACUGCAAUUUCAUCUUGAGAGUUUUAUUAUGCUAAUAAAUGUCAGGAUUCUCAU
rnacentral:sRNA from 1 species